UGGGGAAUAUUGCACAAUGGGCGCAAGCCUGAUGCAGCAACGCCGCGUGAGGGACGAUGGCCUUCGGGUUGUAAACCUCUUUUAGUAGGGAAGAAGCGAAAGUGACGGUACCUGCAGAAAAACGCACCGGCUAACUACGUGCCAGCAGCCGCGGUAAUACGUAGGGUGCGAGCGUUGUCCGGAAUUAUUGGGCGUAAAGAGCUCGUAGGCGGUCUGUCGCGUCUGCUGUGAAAAUCCCCGAGGCUCAACCUCGGGCCUGCAGUGGGUACGGGCAGACUAGAGUGCGGUAGGGGAGAAUGGAAUUCCUGGUGUAGCGGUGGAAUGCGCAGAUAUCAGGAGGAACACCGAUGGCGAAGGCAGUUCUCUGGGCCGUAACUGACGCUGAGGAGCGAAACGCGUGGGGAGCGAACAGGAUUAGAUACCCUGGUAGUCCACGCCGUAAACGUUGGGCGCUAGAUGUGGGGCACCAUUCCACGGUUU
rnacentral:rRNA from 1 species